rnacentral:rRNA from 1 species
AACGAACGCUGGCGGCAGGCCUAACACAUGCGAGUCGAACGCUCGUAGCAAUACGGGAGUGGCGCACGGGUGAGUAACGCGUGGGAACGUGCCCUUUAGUUUGGGAUAACAGCUGGAAACGGCUGCUAAUACCAAAUACGCCCUCCGGGGGAAAGAUUUAUCGCUAAAGGAUCGGCCCGCGUAAGAUUAGGUAGUUGGUGGGGUAAUGGCCUACCAAGCCUACGAUCUUUAGCUGGUCUGAGAGGAUGAUCAGCCACACUGGAACUGAGACACGGUCCAGACUCCUACGGGAGGCAGCAGUGGGGAAUAUUGGACAAUGGGGGAAACCCUGAUCCAGCCAUGCCGCGUGAACGAUGAAGGCCUUAGCGUUGUAAAGUUCUUUUGUCAGGGAAGAUGAUGACGGUACCUGACGAAUAAGCACCGGCUAACUUCGUGCCAGCCGCCGCCGUAA